AUUGAACCCACAUGGACACCCAUCAAACCUGUUGCAACCAGAAUAGUACAAGUUGUCAGAAAACAGUUACCAUUACGACCUGCUGCAGCUAAAACUAUUCACAGAUCACAAGAGUUGAAAGAACUGCUCUCAGGCUGAUGACUGCCCCACAUCCAUACAUUUUUGGAACACAUCACUCACCAAGAGUACCUGUAUCUCAGCCAUGUCAAGCAUUGUCUGAUCUAAUUUGCCACUCUUCACAAUUCAAAUAGUCAUGGGUGUUCUGGCUCCUUUGCCAUCCAGUGCCAAGCUCAGGACAGUGAAAUGGACAAAUUCUAAAGGCAUUUACAUCCUUUGAACUCAUGUAAAAGAUACCUGCCUGAGCAAGGAUAUGUUCAUUCUCAUUCUUAACUUCAGCAAAACAGCAAUGAAUCUGCACAUCCUUGUUGCAUGACACUAAGGGAACUACCUAAAUUAAUUUAUUCUUGUCAUGUCACUUGUACAAGCAAGCACGUCCAACUAUAAACUUACAUGAGCAAUAAGGUUCCAUUUAAUUCACAAUUGAGACUUCUGAUUCAAAGGAGGUGGGCAAUGAUUCCUUUUCUUAGUUUCACAUGAGAAAAACAAAUAGAUUUAAUUCCCUCAC